rnacentral:lncRNA from 1 species
CAAAAGAACACAAAGCAGAUCCCGGUUUUACACACUAAUCAAUCUUGACAGAUGAGUAGAUAAGUCUUGUGAACCAAAAGCACGCAUAAAAUCCGAUGGUGCCCGUUAGCACAAAAAAUGCAUACGAAGCGAUUAGCAUGUACCCAAAGUAUAGGAGCCCCGAAACCAGCUUAGUGAUCUCAAGCUUUGUGAAGAAAUAGAAUGUAGCGUAGAGGAAGAGGUACAAAGCCGAGGAGCCGGAUGUGAGAUAUGAUCUCCACCACCACAGAUAAUCUUCACUGCAUAAUUGGAAGUAGCAAAGCACAAUGGUUAUUUCAGCACAAGUGAUUAGGAGGAUAAUGAAUACCAAGAACAGGAAACCAAAGAUGUAGUAGAACUGGUUCAGCCAGAUUGAGGUGAGAAUGAAGAACAGCUCGAUGAAAACAGCUCCGAAUGGAAGUAUUCCUCCGAUCAGAAUAGAAAAAGUCGGGUUCAUAUACCAAGCUUGCUCUGGAAUUUGCCUUGGGAUUUUGUUCGUCUUCACAGGAUCCUCAAUUGCUGGCUUCUUGAACCCAACAUAACCACCCACAAAAACAAGUGGAACUGAAAUUCCAAACCACAUGAGGACCAGAGCAAACAUUGUUCCAAAUGGCACGGCCCCAGAAGACUUCUGGCCCCAUAUAAUUGCAUUUAAGAUAAAGAAGAUGGCAAAGACAAUGCCUGGGAACAUGCACGCAGUCCUAAAAGCUAAUUUCUUCCAUUCUGCUCCUUUAAACAUUUUGUACAGACGGGCAGAAGCAUAGCCAGCAAAAAUGCCCAUGAAGACCCAAAGUAAAAGCAUAGCUGUCAUCAGACCACCUCGGUUUGAAGGGGAAAGAAAUCCAAAAACAGCAAAGAUCAUGGUAACAAGUACCAUGCCCAAAAAUUGAACACCGGUGCCAACAUAGACACAGAGUAGAUCAGAAUUAGAUGGAGGCCUGAAAACAUCCCCAUGGACAAGCUUCCAUCCUGUCUCUUCUUGGGCUUCUUCCUGAGUCUCAAGUUCGUUAUACCUAGAAAUGUCACGGUAUAGUGUCCUUAGCAUGAUCAUUGCUACCAUUCCCGAAAGGAAGAGAACAAUCAUCAAAGAAUUGACAAUUGAGAACCAGUGUAUUUGGUCAUCAUUCAUUAAAAGAUAUGCAUCCCACCUAGAUGCCCACUUCACAUCACUCUCCUGAAAGUCGCACAGGAAAAUUUAAGAAUACUAGCACCUCAUAGAUUUAUAUGUCAGAAACUUAAUUCAAGAAAAUGUGAUACAAUGGAGAAUUUUUUCCAAGUAAUAAUAUCAACAGAAUCUACUUCAACACAAAGGAAUACAACCUUUAAGGGUUCAGCUCAAGGUUGCCAUUGGAAAAAUUUAACAUUGCAAUUGUCAACCCUAGAAAAUUAUUUGAAGUUGAAGAACUCACCUGGUAUUCAACAUCAUAGGUGAAUAUUAUCUCCUUUUUUGCUUCAACUUCUUGAGGAGUGUUAGAAUUAACAACUGUGCGUUUAUUAUGGGGGUCGCAUGUUGUUAAACGACUUUUUUCAUUCCAUUUCCCCUCAUAUUCAUGUUUAAUACUGCAUUGUUUUAGUAUAUAAAGAAAAUGUAUCAAAACACAAUACAACAAUCUCAGUCACAGAAACCUAGAAUUAAAAUUAUUAGAAUAUGCUAGACUCAAAGGAGCUAACCUGUAUGGUUUAACCUCAAAACCCACAAUUCUAGCAGAGUCAGUUUGCGGAUCCCUAUGAUAUUUGACAGUAAAUGCUAAAUGGUUGUGAAUGAAAUAUUUCUCUUCCUUGCUCUGCAUAUAACCAGAAAACAUAAGCAAACACAGAUAUAGUAGCUAAUUACAUCCACAAACAAAGGAAAUUUUAAUACUUGUAAUAGAUAUUAUGUUUACCCCACUAUAUUGGCCUUUGAGCCCAACAUGGUAGCCAAGCUGAUAAACAGUAGAAGAAUCCUGAUCUAAUCUUCUAACGGGGACAACAAGGGGAAGGUUAUCCAGUAUCCUGUCAAUUGAACCACAAAUUAAUUAGACAGAGAUCCUAGGCAACAGCUAUAAAAAGACUGAAAGAUGAAUUCCAUGUCCGAAUAAACAAAUGGCAUACAUAUUGACUCGAUAUUCAUCAUCAAUCUUCUCCUUAAAUUGCUUUGCAGUUUUGGCAUCAAGUGUAAUGCGGCAAAGAAUAGUACACAUAUGUGGCUCUCGCAUUUUAAACUACAUUAAUUGGAGUCAAUAAGAACAAGUUAAUGGCCAUAGAAUAAACAAUCAACACUAAAUCAUCAGAAAUACUGAUAACUGACCACAUAAGGAGAGUUUUCAAUUCGGUCACCACGAAGCACUUCCCCAAGAUUCUCCGCACUGUCAACAAUCUUUUUAGGUGGACAAAAAGGAAGCGAAUAGUACGAGUAAGGAAGUUGAGUCUUUAUAGAUGUCAAUUUGUUCACUUUCACCUUCAAAGGAUCUCCCUGCAAACCCCUAACAAAAGAAUCAAAACUAAAGAGGACCAAAAUGAUUCUUUAAUGAACACUCCCAACUAUCACAGCAUGUAGUGAGAACUUAAAGUGUUUUAAUCAAAGUCUUUAUCGAUCAGGUACGCAAUGUAACUAAUCACCAUAAAGAUCAAGCACGCUUUGGGGCUUCCAUUAAUACAUUAUGUAAAUUGAAUCUCUUUCCUUAAGCAAUAAUUACAGAACAUGAUUAACAUAAAAUAAAAUCGCAAAUGCCAUGGAUAAAUGCAAGACCGCAAGAAAAUUUUACAAACUAGCUAAAAGUAUGGACACUCAACGUUUUGAAAUAAAAGAAUCAAAACGGAAAACGAAAAUCAUAAAGUGAAAUGAAGUUAAAUUGUUCUAAUUUCUUGUUUAAAAGAAAACCUAGCUGAAUCUGAGACGGAUUUUCCACUUCCAACACGAAUACAAAGAAAUUCAUUAAUUUUCCUUCUCGUAGAGAUCAUAUACGUAUCUUAUUAUUCUAUCAAAAACAAACAGAGUUCAAAGUGAAGAUACAAAAUAAAAACCAGAUCAAUAAAUAAAGAAUAGAAGAGAAAGGGAAAGGCGACCUUCUGGAAGUCCUCGGGGGAAACACCGGGGAGGUAGAAGCAGUGAGCGGCAUGGAUCAGGAAGAGGAAGAGAAUCGGCCAUAUGAUGGUGGCAGUUAAUCGGUUCAUAGAUCUGGAUCCAGAUUCCAUUUUGACGGGGUUGGAGAAGGAAACUCUCUCUUUGAGAAGGGAGAGGAGGGGGAAAUGAGAUCUGAUAAAAGAAAAGAGCUUAUAUAUUGUUUUUUAAUCCUUUUUAAAAUCUGCCGUGGAAUUUGAUUUUUCUUAUCUACCGUGUGGUGGCUGGCGGUGGCCAGUCAAUUCGUAUUCGAGUGUCGGUCACGGUCAUGGUCAUGGUCAUGGUCUUGUGGAUUAUUAUUGAUGUCUUUUUGGAUUGGACUGAUCUAUUUAGGCCCAUUCUUUUUUUGUUUUUUCUCUGAGAUUUCAUUUCCGGGUUUGUAAGCGGGUUCGGAUUUUUUCUCAGAAAACUACUCCCUCUAACAUCUCAUCAUGGCCGAGUUGGAUCGGAUUCGAGUCGGGUUUAAGUAUGAUAUUAAUAUAUUUUAUAUUUGUUCAAAUCUAGCCCAACCUGAAAUAUGGGUCCAAAAUUUUACCCAAACCCAAACUCAUUUUAAACCUACCCAUAUUAUUUAUAAAAAAUUUUAAACAAAUAUUUUUACUAUAUUAUUUUAAUAUUUACAUUAGAGUAGUAUUAUAUAUUUAGUAUGGGUUUAUUUUUUUAAUGUGUUAUAAAAUACAUAAUAUAUAAGAACAACAUAAUAUAAAGUAUUAUAAACUUAAAAAUGGGUUGAGUCAGGGUCGGGCCAAGCUCGGGCCUUAAAUGUUCAAGUUCAAGCUCUAACUUUUUUUUAAACGAGCCUAAUUUUUUACCUAAACCCAUUUACUGGGUCUAAUAUUUUUACAUAAACCCUCCCAAAUUUCAGGCGGACCUUCGAGUCUAGAUGACUAACUCAACCCAUGAAUAGGUCUACUCUCAUUCUACUGAUUUUAUAAAGGUAAAAGUACCUAACAGAUCCCUCUAAGAAAUUAAUUAAAUACUAUGAUUGUUCUAAGAAUUUUUGUAACUCGGUAAUAUAUUAUGUAAUGGGUAAAUGACACCCGAGGUCACUCUAAAAUAGGGCCUGUCUUAUUUUGAUCACUCUAAUUUUUUUUUUCUCAAUUUAAUCACUAUAAAUAAGAUAAUUGUGCGAAUUAGUCACUGCCGUCAAAAUUUUUGUUUUUCUUUUUCUUUUGAUGGAUUGCCAAUGUGGCACAUUAGCCCACUGAGUGACUGACAUGUGGCAUUUUUUAUUGACUUUUGACUAAUUAUAGGGAGGUUGCUAAACUUUAAUCAAAAGUCAACAAAAAAAUACGUGCCAGUCACUAAAGGUGCUAAUGUAUCAUAUCAAUAAUCCGUUAAAAGAAAAUGAAAAUUUUAAUAGAAUGACUAAUUCACACAAUUAUCUUAUUUAGAGUGACUAAAUUGACAAAAAAAAUUGAAAUGAUCAAAACAGAACAAAUCUUAUUUUAGAGUGACUAUGAGGAAUAUCUAACUCAUGUGUUACAUAAGACACUAUAAUAUCUAUAAUAAUUAAUGUAAUAGGAUAAUAUUUUGAAUAAUCACACAAAAACCUUAUGAAGUUUUUGUUAUUACUCCAAAUUUUUAGUAAGUACUAAUAAAUUUUGUAAUUUGAUAAUAUAUAUUCUAUAAUUCAUAUUAUACUAAACAUUAUAAAAUCUGUAAUAAUUAUUAUAGUAAGGUAAUAUGUGGCGUAAGAGUUGUGUUAUUACUCAAAAAUAUUAUGCAAAUUCUAAAAAAAUUUUGUAAAUUGGUAAUUUAUUCUAUAAUCUGUGAUAGACUAACAUUACAAAAUCAAUAAUAAUUAGUGUAACAAAAUAAUAUACUAAUGUUAUACAAUGUUCUUUGUUAAACAAAUAUAUCAUCUAAGUCGUAAAAAAUUAUGUAACCAAAUAAUAAUUAGCGCAAAUAUUUACACAAAACAAUGCAGAUAUAGUUAUAGCUUACAGCUAUUAAACUUAAAAUAAGCUUCAUAAUUGUCAAAAUCAGAUAUAUCGGUUUGUACGUCAGAAAUAUAAAAAAUAUAUAUUUGAUUAAUUUGUUAACCAGCAUAAAUUGAUUAAAUCAAGUUAAAAAAAAAGAUUAAACAAACGAUGAAGCUGACUAUAAAUCUUCAAUAUUUUUUUGGAGUUCUUAAUAACUUACCUAGUAAAAAAAACAUAAAUCGGAUCGGAAAAAAAUUCUUGACCGAUUCAACCACAGUUCGGACAUGAUCCAUCCCUUUCGUUAUAAAAGAAUUUCAGCAUUCGGCAGGUCAAGUUGUGUUCCAGCAAGUAAUAAAAACCAUCAGCAUGAGUAUUUUGCGUCUUCUAUAAAUAAAGGAAUAAAAAGGCUACGAUAUUAUUACAAAAUCAUCAAAUUCACCCAGUGUAUUUCAGGCUUCUCUUAACAAGUAUUUUCUCAAUCAACUACAACAAUGACAACUCAGUUCAAAAAUGAGAAUUAACGUAUACAUCUUAAAGCAUGACUAUAUCUUAACCUAAAAAGCAUAUCCCCUUUUACACACUAAUCGAUCUUGACAGAUGAGUAGAUAAGUCUCGUGAACCAAAAGCACGCAUAAAAUCCGAUGGUGCCCGUUAGCACAAAAAAUGCAUACGAAGCAAUUAGCAUGUACCCAAAGUAUAGGAGCCCCGAAACCAGCUUAGUGAUCUCAAGCUUUGUGAAGAAAUAGAAUGUAGCGUAGAGGAAGAGGUACAAAGCCGAGGAGCCGGAUGUGAGAUAUGAUCUCCACCACCACAGAUAAUCUUCACUGCAUAAUUGGAAGUAGCAAAGCACAAUGGUUAUUUCAGCACAAGUGAUUAGGAGGAUAAUGAAUACCAAGAACAGGAAACCAAAGAUGUAGUAGAACUGGUUCAGCCAGAUUGAGGUGAGAAUGAAGAACAGCUCGAUGAAAACAGCUCCGAAAGGAAGUAUUCCUCCGAUCAGAAUAGAGAAAGUUGGGUUCAUAUACCAAGCUUGCUCUGGGAUUUGCCUUGGGAUUUUGUUUGUCCUCACAGGAUCCUCAAUUGCUGGCUUCUUGAACCCAACAUAACCACCCACAAAAACAAGUGGAACUGAAAUUCCAAACCACAUGAGGACCAGAGCAAACAUUGUCCCAAAUGGCACGGCCCCAGAAGACUUCUGGCCCCAUAUAAUUGCAUUUAAGACAAAGAAGAUGGCAAAGACAAUGCCUGGGAACAUGCACGCAGUCCUAAAAGCUAAUUUCUUCCAUUCUGCUCCUUUAAACAUUUUGUACAGACGGGCAGAAGCAUAGCCAGCAAAAAUGCCCAUGAAGACCCAAAGUAAAAGCAUAGCUGUCAUCAGACCACCUCGGUUUGAAGGGGAAAGAAAUCCAAAAACAGCAAAGAUCAUGGUAACAAGUACCAUGCCCAAAAAUUGAACACCGGUGCCAACAUAGACACAGAGUAGAUCAGAAUUAGAUGGAGGCCUGAAAACAUCCCCGUGGACAAGCUUCCAUCCGGUCUCUUCUUGGGCUUCUUCCUGAGUCUCAAGUUCGUUAUACCUAGAAAUGUCACGGUAUAGUGUCCUUAGCAUGAUCAUUGCUACCAUUCCCGAAAGGAAGAGAACAAUCAUCAAAGAAUUGACAAUUGAGAACCAGUGUAUUUGGUCAUCAUUCAUUAAAAGAUAUGCAUCCCACCUAGAUGCCCACUUCACAUCACUCUCCUGAAAGUCGCACAGGAAAAUUUAAGAAUACUAGCACCUCAUAGAUUUAUAUGUCAGAAACUUAAUUCAAGAAAAUGUGAUACAAUAGAGAAUUUUUUCCAAGUAAUAAUAUCAACAGAAUCUACUUCAACACAAAGGAAUACAAUCUUUAAGGGUUCAGCUCAAGGUUGCCAUUGGAAAAAUUUAACAUUGCAAUUGUCAACCCUAGAAAAUUAUUUGAAGUUGAAGAACUCACCUGGUAUUCCACAUCAUAGGUGAAUAUUAUCUCCUUUUUUGCUUCAACUUCUUGAGGAGUGUUAGAACUAACAACUGUGCGUUUAUUAUGGGGAUCGCAUGUUGUUAAACGACUUUUUUCAUUCCAUUUCCCCUCAUAUUCAUGUUUAAUACUGCAUUGUUUUAGUAUAUGAAGAAUAUGUAUUAAAACACAAUACUUGAAUCUCAGUCGCAGAAACCUAGAAUCAAAAACAUUAGAAUAUGAUAGAACUCAAAGGAACCAACUAACCUGUAUGGUUUAACCUGAAAACCCACAAUUCUAGCAGAGUCAGUUUGUGGAUCCCUAUGAUACUUGACAGUAAAUGCUAAAUGGUUGUGAAUGAAAUAUCUGUCUUCCUUGCUCUGUAAAUAACCAGAAAACAUAAGCAUACACAGAUAUAGUAGCUAAUUACAUCCACAACCAAAGGAACUUUUAAUGCUUGUAAUAGAUAUUAUGUUUACCCCACUGUAUUGGCCUUUGAGCCCAACAUGGUAGCCAAGCUGAUAAACAGUAGAAGAGUCCUGAUCUGAUCUUCUAAUGGGAACAACAAGGGGGAGGUUAUCCAGUAUCCUGUCAAGCAAAUCAAAAAUUAAUUAGAAAGAGAUCCUAGGCAACAGAGCAAUUAAAAGAUUGAAAGAUGACUUCCAUGUCCGAAUAAACAAAUAGCAUACAUAUUGACUCGAUAUUCAUCAUCAAUCUUCUCCUUAAACUGCUUUGCAGUUUUGGCAUCAAGUGUAAUGCGGCAAAGAACAGUACACAUUUGUGGAUCUCGCAUUUUAAACUACAAUAAUUAAAGUCAACAAAAACAAGUUAGGCCAUAAAAUAAACAGUCAGAACUAAAUCAUCAGAAAUACUAAUAACUGACCACAUAAGGAGAGUUUUCAAUUCGAUCACCGCGAAGCACUUCUCCAAGAUUCUCAGUGCUGUCAACUAUCUUUUUAGGUGGGCAAAAAGGAAGCGAAUAGUAUGAAUAAGGAAGCUGAGUCUUUAUAGACGUCAAUUUGUUCACUUUCACCUUCAAAAGAUCUCCCUGCAAACCCCAACAAAAGAAUAAAAACUAAAGAAGACCAGUAUGAUUCCUCAGUGAACACCCCCCAACUAUCAUGGCAUGUAGUGAGAACAUAAAGUGGUUUAAUCAAAGCCAUUAUUGAUCAGGUGCGCAUGAUGAGCACGGUGUAACUAAUCACCAUAAAGAUCACGUACGUUUUGGUGCUUCAAUUAAUACAUUAUGUAUAUUGAAUCUCUUUCGAGGAUAACUUCACAAAUCUUAUGCAAUAAUUAUUCUAGGUAGCAUUACAGAACAUGAUCAGCAUGAAACAAUCGCAGAUACCUUGGAUAAAUGCAAGAACGGAACAAAACUUAAAAACUAACUAAAAGUGUGCACUCUCAACGUUUUCAAAUAAAAGAAUAAAACGGAAAAGGAAAUCAUCAUGUGAAAUGAAGUUAACUUGUUCUUAUUAUACAACCUAGCUGAAUCUGAGACGUUAUUUCCAUUUCCAACAUAUGAAAUUUUUAAUAAUAUUCCUUCUCGUAGUGAACCUAUAUGAAUCCUAUUAUUAUAUAAAAAAAAUAAACAGAGAUCAAAUCUAAGGCACGAAAUUAAAACCAGAUCAACCAAAAAAAGAAGAAGAAAGGAACAGAGGGAAAAACACAAAUAGAAAUCGAAAGGCAACCUUCUGGAAGUCUUCGGGGGCGACACCGGGAAGGUAGAAGCAGUGAGCAGCGUGGGCCAGAAAGAGGAAGAGAAACGAACAUAUCUUGGCGGUCAACUUGUGCAUAGAUCUGGAUCUAGACUCCAUUUUGACGAUGGGAGAAACUCUCUCUUUGACGAGGGAGAGAGGGAAAUUAGAUCUGGAAAAAGAAAAGAGCGUAUAUAUGUGUUUUUCAUUUUUUCUUUUAAUGUCUUUUUUAAAUUUCACUUGGAAUUAGGUUUUUCUUAUCCGCCGUCUUGUGUAAAACUACAACAAUAGUUCCUGUACUAUAACUCAUAUUACAUUUUGGUCUCUUUAUUAAAAAAUUAGGUAAAUUAUACAUUUAUUUAAUUUAGCCCCUAUUCUUUUUAUGCCUAACAAUUUAACCAUCAACCUUUUAUCACUAAUACGACACUAUCACCACAUUUAGGUCAUUGUAACGGAAUAGAGCUAUAAUGAAAUAUAGCUAUAAUCAGUAAUUCAAUUGUUUGGUUGAAUGAAAAGAAAUAGAACUGUAAUAGUAUUCUUGUAUCUUGUUAAAUGGAAUAAAGUUGUAAUAGCAUAAAAAAAUUAAAAUGACCAGAUUACCCCUAUCAUAAAAUUUUUUUAGAUUGAUAAUUAUUGUUAUUGUUAUUAAAUUUUAAUAAGAUUAUUAUUAAAUAUUUUAUAUUAGUUUAAUUUAACAUUUUAUAACAAAUUAUAUUAAAACAUUUUAUUUUAUAUUUUUUGAAAUUUGGAAAAAAAUAUAUUAUAUUGAAUUAUAUUAAAAUGUUUUUUUUUUAUUUUUUAUAUUAAAUUAUAUUAAAAUAUUUAACGUAUAGUUGAUAUUAAAGUGACUCCAUCCUAAUAUAGAAACCUUAAAUCCAAUUUCCUUCGUGGCUAGAAAAAGGAUUUUCCACUGAAAAUAAGCUUUCAUAAAAUAACUAGAUCAGCAUAAGUAAGAAAUAUGUGCUAUCGCGGCUUCAAUCUAGUCCGAAAAUAAAAAAAAAAUUUAUUUCCAAAUUGCCUUUCUUCUGUUAUAACAGAAAGCACAAGCAACCAGUAAAUUAUAAAUAGAAAGACAUAGUUACUUUUAUGAGCAGAAGUGGUAGGUUUUCUUGAUAGCCAUGUAGAUAUUCAAAAAGGUGAGUUGCAAAGUAACCUGUAUCUCAAAUUGUUUUUCAAAACCCCUUCAAAUUUAACAACAUAAAGUUUAAAAAAAUGACUGUCAAAACAUUUGAAGCUAAGAAUAAGACUUUUGGUGAUUGCUCCAACGUUUGUAGCUUUAUCGAUCCCUAUGUUAGCAGUUGAAUUUCCUUCCAAGCCGUUAAGAUCAACAUUUGUGGCAUCAUGAACAACUGACUGAGUAGGCACCUCUAGGAUGUACCAUAUAUUACUGCUACCUUGAGGAGGAGAUUUCUAGUGGGAUAAAUCUAGUCUUUAGCAAAUAAUUUUUUUUAAAUUAAAAAGUAUUAUAAAAAUUAUAAAAAAAACUCUUCAAAAAUAAAAUAAAAACUAAAAUUUCUAAAAUUAAAUCCCAAAUUAAUCAAUUGAUUUUUUUUAUUCAAGUAUAUUUUAGAUUUUAAGCAAGCAUAUAGAGAGAGACACUAAUAACAGGAGAAAAAUGAAAUGUUUUGAUAGAGAAGCAGGUGGACUAUUUUUUUCACUUUAAGAUCUUAAAACUAUUUAUAAUUAAAUAUUUGGUUGGGUAUAUAUAUUGGAUCUCGUGCAACUUUAUUGAUGGUCAAUCUGUUUGCUUUUGAGUAUCGAGAAUGGUCAUGAGGGCGAAGGGACCCCAGUCAUUAUCUUCUUGUAAAAGACAAACGGUGAAAAAAUGUCUACGGAGGUGAUGUGGUGGAUGGGUCAGGUUUGACGGCGAUGGUGGCAGGAGACGAAGGAUUGGAAUGGAUCUCAACGGUCAGAGUACUUACCAUUGACUUGUUUACUGCCGGAUGCUUUUGCCGCCAUCUACAACUAGCAAUGGAUGUGGACAAAAGUGAAAUUGGGAGCUUUUCAGUUUCUUGAUAUUCUGGUUUUUUGAUGAGGAAAGUUCAAGUGUGACUGGAAUUUUUAUUUUUCUUUUGAUGUUUUCUUUUUAAGUCAUAGGGUUUGUAUUUUAUUUGAUUUUUUUUUCAUUUAUAAAACAUUGUUGCAUUGCUUCAAUAAAAAUAUCUAGCCUUUAUUUUAAUAAAUAAAUAAAAUCUCGUACAACUUUAUUAAUGGUCAGUCUAUUUGUAUUCGGUUAUCGAGAAUGGUCAUGGAUUACCAUGUCUUUUUGGAUUGAAUAAAUUCAUUUAGGCCCAUCUUUCUUUCUUUAGUAUUUUUAUUCUUUUUUUAAUAUGUAGUUUGUUCUUUUAUCUUAUUUAAAAGUAAUUGGUUGGUAUUUGAAUUUUUUAUUGGACCUAAUUAGUAUUUAAACUUGUACUCCAUCACUUAAGUUGGUAUUUCUACACUAACACCGUUAGUUUAUGCUGACGUGAUACUGAUAGUCUAUCCAUCAGUAACAUGUGACAGUCUCUUAGUAUGUCACGUGGCAAAUAUAAAUUAAAAAUACUUUUAAAAUAUAUAAAUUAAUUAUAAAAAAUAUAAUUAUGUUCACAUCAAAAAUGAAUCUAGACAAAAAUUUAUACUUUUUUAUUAAUUUAUUUAUUUUUAAAGAUUUGUUUAAUUUAUACUCGUCACAUGACAUAUUGAGAAACUACCACAUGUCACCACUAGAUUGAUCAUCAGUGCCACAACAACACAAAUUCACGGUGUUAGUGAGAAGAUACUAACUUGAGUAACGGAAUAUAAGUUCAAAUACCACUCAAAGACAAACUAAGUGUAAUGGGUGGAUUUGAGUCUUUAUUGAACCUACAAUUAAUUGAAUACGUUUAAUUGAAAAAACUCAAAUUAAAAAAUGAUGCCCUCCCAUGUGAUUAGUUUCGUAUUAGUUCAGUCGAUCCACAUCGUUUUAGUACAAAACCGAAACUUUCAAAUAUUUUUUAUAUCGGAAAAAAUUUUGGUCUAUGUUAAUUGUAGCAUUUUGUUUUGUUCAUGUUUUGGUCACAACUACUAUAACAAAGUGCAUCGGUUGGAAGGGGAAGCAAAAUUCUUACAAAUUUCACGAAUACACCUCUAUAUGUCUAUUUUUAUAGAACUUCCAUCUUAUAUGUUUAGCAUGAGAUGCUUUUUUUUUUUUCGAUUUGUUGAAUGAUAAAUUUUAUUUAUUUAUUUGUGAUGUGUAUUAAAGAAUAUUAUAUAUAAUUGAUGAAUAUAAAAUAUUUUAAAUCUAUUUAAUUUUAUUCAUUUUAUAUUUUUAAAUCUUUUUAUUUACGUAUACUAAAUAUUUUUUAAAAAAGUUUUUUUUUAUCAAUUUAAUUUAAUUUGAAAUUUUUCGAAAAAAUAAGUUAAAUUGAAUAAAUUUAUUCAAGUUAAAAUAAAGAUUAAAUUAUAGGAAUAAAUUUCAAAAUUAUAUAUGAACUUUGAUUUAAUGUACAAUUAUAUAUAUAAACUUUAAUUUUGUGCAAUUAUACACUUAAAAUUCUAAUUGUAGUUCAAAUGUAUACUUGAAACUUUAAUUUUGAUUUAAUUAUACACAUUUAAAUAAAUGAAUAUAUCAAUUUAUUUUUAUAUUGAAUAAAUAUAUUUAUUUAUGUAUGAAAUAUAUAAACAUAAAAUGAUAUUAUAUCAACAAUGUGUUAAUAAUUUUUAAAAAUUAGAUCAAAUUAAAAUUUCAUAUAUAAAAUUGCAUAAAAUCAAAUUUCAUGUAUACAAUUGCACAUUAAACCAUAAUUUAUUUAUAAUUUUAAAAAUUUAUCCCUAAAUUAUAUUUAAUAAUGAUAAAGCAAGCUUUAUGAUUUUUUACAUGAUUUAAGAAAUGCACUUGAAAUUACAAAUAGUCAAGAACACAAGACACAUAAUUUUAAGUGAUUUCACCAAAAAUAUUUCUUUGUACAAACUCUAACUUUAGAGAUCAACAAGUGACAUAACAAAUAAUAAUAAUAAUAAUAAUAAAACAAUGAGAAAAUUCAAAAUUUUCAUAAAAAAACGGCUUUAUUUGGAUAAAAAAGUUACACUAAUUAGAUGAUUAAUUUUACCAUUAAAAACCAACAUUAAAUUCUAAUCAUAUGUACUCUUUUUAAGACAAUACUUAAAAUUACCUAUAGUUCCUUCUCAACUCAUAAAUAAAAGGACAAUACAUUUUAACGCACUUAAACCCUCUUACAUUGAGAACAAUAUUCAUUAUACCGAUCGAGUUAAAACUCGAUCAACAGCUUACCUAAUAUUUGUGUUGAACUUUAAAGUACAAAGUUCGAUAAAAAUUCAAUUUUUGUCGUAAAAAAUACCAGAAGAUCUUAAUGGUGGAAAUGAAAACCAGGAGGUGAGGAACAACAUGAUGAUUGCUUCCAAAUAUUAGCUAUAAUUAUGCUUACUUCAAUCAAAAGGAUGAAUGAGAUGGUUGAGAGAACUUUAACCAUUGGAUGUUUGGUAAUGCAAUCAUUUAUAGUUCAAUUCAUAAAGAGAGCACAACAGAAGGUAGACUACAUGGAUUCUAUAUACCCUGCAACAACUAGUUAGAAGAGGUGAAAGUCGACUACAUCCUAAUCGUUGAUGAGAAAGCUAUUCCUGAAUAGAAUCCCAAUUUGGAUAGGAUUAGUCUCAAACUAUAAAACAGAUGAAGAUACCUAUGAAUAUAUAAUAAUAAUAAAAAAACACAUCCUAAUAAAUUUCAAUCUUACUUAGAAUAUUUUCAUUAUAUAAAUAUUUGUUAUAUACUAUUUUUUAUUAAUAAUCUUAUUACAGACUCUAAUCAUAUCUAUUCUUUUUUGACACAAUUCUUAGAACUACCUAUAACCCUUUUUCCAUCCCAUAAGAGGAUAAUGAGUGCAUUACCAAUGCCCAUGCCAAUCGAGCUGAAUUUUAAUCAGCAUAUUUUCAUCCAUUCACUCAGUGCACAUUGCACAGUCACAAUAUACCUAUAAUACUUGUAGAGUGAUAUCCUCUUUUUGAAAUAGAAUGAAUAUAAUGAAACAUAAGCAACAAGGAGAGAUCCAAAUUGGCACAGCCACAACACACAAUCAAACAAAAAAAAAAAAAGGAAUCUUGUAAUUACUUCAUCUUUAGCAGAAAAUUUUGAUAUUCAGAAAUGAACAUACAAAGCAUGCAAUCAUUCAAAAUAAUAAUUAACGCAGCACAGAUUCAAAAAAAAAAAAAAGUGCAAACAUCCAUGAAAAUGGUUUCAUUUCCUAAAAGAAAACAUUAUCCUAUUAUAGUUUGAAAUUUGUUGAUUGCAUGGAAGUCGUUGCCUUACUACAGUCAAUUAUAGAGCUGAAAAUGCUUUUGGAGAUACAAGAAAUAAUAAAGACUACAACAAAGUACAGUGUUGUAACUUGUAAGCAUAUUAAGUUAAGUUGUGUUGAUACACAACAAGAACUAAGUACCAGAAAGAACAAACCUUGAUCCAGUGUUGCAAAAACUGAAAAUCAGUGUCUUCCUGCAAAAGGAAACAACAAGUCAAGAAAGAAGCUCAUUGUGAAAUUUACAAACAGGCGUAAUUAUUUUCUUUAAAAUAAUUACACCUGCUUCUCUAUGAAAACACUAAUAAUAUAUGUUGCUGUUACCAAGAUAGGGUUAUAAAUUGAACUAAUGAAUAGAAAACUCCAUUUUUGCAACUAAGCGUACAAGAAACUUGAGCCUGCUAGAUUCAGGUGAAAACAAACUCCAAUAAAGCAGUAAAAGAUGAAGGUAUGGUACCAACAAGAAGAAAAUUGCAGAAAGAGAAAGAGGGUUUUGUUGAGGGAGGACCAUACUAGCUAUUAGUAGGCAAGGGAUAACGUGAAUGGUCCCAUAUUCAUCGUUUUGCCACUAAACCUGCACAAUAAUCAAUCAAGCUUAUACCUCAACAGUGAAUAACAUCAAAAGCCACGCUUGUUAAUUACAUAAAUCAUAAACAAAAGAUACAGUCAGGCCGUCAGUAGGGCAUACCACCUUCAUUGGUUCCAUAUACUCUCUCUCUCCCUCCAUUCUCAGAAUAGUUCAAUUUGACUGGCACCAAUGAAGGUGGUAUGCCCUACUGACGGCCUAGGUAAGGUGGUCUUUAAUUAGGGUUUGACUGUAUAAAAUGUAAAACUCCCAUUGAUAAAGAGAAAAAAGACUUGAGAUACAAGUAGUUUAGUCACUCCCCACUGCAUAUAUAUUAACAGAAAUUUCAAAAGGGUUAUUCCUCGCAUUUUUACUUUUUUUUCCUAAUUAAUAAAAAAUAUACUAGAUUAAUUGUGUGUUGGGAAUUUAUUGGCUGGUUGACUAUCUGAUACGUUUGUUUGAGUUGAUGAACC